rnacentral:lncRNA from 1 species
AGGUGUCGAACCCAAGGGCUCUUCUCAGCAGAGUGUCUGCAUGCCACACUCUGCUUUAGAGUCUGUUCCCUGGGGAACACAACCAGAGACUGAAAUAAUUGGUGGGCAGUGGGGAGCACAAAGGGCUGUUUUUGUUUCAUGUGAAGACGAUGAGCAUGCUAUGAACCCCGAAGAGCUGUUGUAUAAAGUAUCUGCCUGGAAACCCUGUUGCCUGGAGACCACUCUUGAAGAACAUCCACUGCUGUGGCCUCUUAAAGAUUUAAGACAUCUAAUGAACAGCUGACAGAAAUCAUCAAUUUGCUCCUCAGUUUAAGUGCAGCAGGGCUCAAA